UACGUAGGGGGCAAGCGUUGUCCGGAAUUAUUGGGCGUAAAGCGCGCGCAGGCGGUUCUUUAAGUCUGGUGUCUAAGUGCAGGGCUCAACCCCGUGAUGCACUGGAAACUGGGGAACUUGAGUGCAGAAGAGGAGAGCGGAAUUCCACGUGUAGCGGUGAAAUGCGUAGAGAUGUGGAGGAACACCAGUGGCGAAGGCGGCUCUCUGGACUGUAACUGACGCUGAGGCGCGAAAGCGUGGGGAGCAAACAGG
rnacentral:rRNA from 1 species